CCCGUAGACACUCCACCAGGUUGUGGACAUACAGGGUCAUGGCCCUGUAAAACCUCAACUGCUUCUCUGAGGAACUUUCCUCCAGAGUCUCCACAGAGAUUUUAGCGCUCUCAACGUCGGCCUCCAUCCUCCUCAGCUCUGCCUGCCGUGCUCUGUGCACCUCCUUCAGGGAGUCUAGUCUACAAAGAGAGAAAAAUGAGAAAGCGAUGCAAACUGCUGCAUUCACUGCCAGAUGGGCUCUGAGGACAAGAAAAUAGGAGGAUCAAGGAUGUCAAAGCUGCAGUGCAAAGGGGAGUAGCUACACUGAUGGAAGGCUUCAGUCUUCAGAAAAGGAGGCUGUUCUGCUAUUUGAGAAAUCAUACCAGAAAGAGAGAGCAAAACAUUUAGGAAAAAAAAUAACUUAAGAAAAUAUGGAAAAAAGAGAAGAGGGCUGCCUCAAUCUCUUCCUACCUGUUCUCUUGGCCGUCUCUUGAUUCCUUUCCCAAUUUGGGUCUCCUCCCAAAGUUCCUGCUCAUCAGUCCCUGAGAGACUGCCAUCACUUUCUCCUAGAUUGCAUACAAAAUAGUAUACUUCACAAUCCUAAAAAUUUGGGGCAAAACCUCUUCACACCCCAUCUCCCUCCCUUGCAUACCAAAUUUCUCAGCAAUCCUCUCCCUGAUGCUCUUCAAUCGUGGGGCGAACUCGAUUCUUCUCUCAUGAUCAUCUGGCUCAUCAUCAUCAUCCUCAGCUCUGUCGUCUUCGCUGUCCCUGCUAUAGUGAUCCGGGGUGCUACCAGCGGAGCUGUGGCCAUCUCUACCAAGGGAAAUGAACUCUUUCUGGGCUCGGUUAGUGCGACGCUGCCUCCUGGCUGCCUUGAUCUCUUCAGCAUUAGGGAUAACUACUGUAAAGACAAAUCAACAUACACACAAGAAGAAACACACCGUUUGUUGUAAGAAAUAACAGAAGUCUGUAACAACAGAAAGUUGGCUUCUUUACACUGCUGGAAAUGGUGCAAAAUAUGUAUCCUAUGUGUUUGUCUCACUAGAAGUAAUAACAGGACAUUAAAUGUAUACUGAAAAUAUAAAUAAAUUAAAAUAUUGUUAAUAUUGUA